GGGGAUAUAGUUCAGCGGCAUAAGCACCUGCCUGGCAAGCUUAACGUCCUGAGUUUGAUUCUCAGUACCUCCC
rnacentral:tRNA from 1 species